rnacentral:tRNA from 1 species
GGGCCGGACCGCCAGGCGCGGCGGCGGCGGCGACGUCGUCGUCGCCGUCCGGAGCGGAGAGCCGGGGUACCGUGCCCGGCUCCGGCGACCGGGCCGGCCCG